GGUCCAAUGGUCUAGAGGUAUGAUUCACCCUUAGGGAGUGCAAGCUUCUCAAUUGGGUGAGGUCCCGCGUUCGAUUCGCGGUUGGACCC